UCGAGUCGGCCUGCGCGGAAGAUGUAACGGGGCUAAACCAUGCACCGAAGCUGCGGCAGCGACACUGUGUGUUGUUGGGUAGGGGAGCGUUCUGUAAGCCUGUGAAGGUGUGUCGUGAGGCAUGCUGGAGGUAUCAGAAGUGCGAAUGCUGACAUAAGUAACGAUAAAGCGGGUGAAAAGCCCGCUCGCCGGAAGACCAAGGGUUCCUGUCCAACGUUAAUCGGGGCAGGGUGAGUCGACCCCUAAGGCGAGGCCGAAAGGCGUAGUCGAUGGGAAACGGGUUAAUAUUCCCGUACUUGGUGUUACUGCGAAGGGGGGACGGAGAAGGCUAUGUUGGCCGGGCGACGGUUGUCCCGGUUUAAGCGUGUAGGUGUGUGUUCCAGGUAAAUCCGGUUCACUUUAACACUGAGGCGUGACGACGAGGCACUACGGUGCUGAAGCAACAAAUGCCCUGCUUCCAGGAAAAGCCUCUAAGCAUCAGGUAACAUCAAAUCGUACCCCAAACCGACACAGGUGGUCAGGUAGAGAAUACCAAGGCGCUUGAGAGAACUCGGGUGAAGGAACUAGGCAAAAUGGUGCCGUAACUUCGGGAGAAGGCACGCUGACACGUAGGUGAAGUGAUUUACUCAUGGAGCUGAAGUCAGUCGAAGAUACCAGCUGGCUGCAACUGUUUAUUAAAAACACAGCACUGUGCAAACACGAAAGUGGACGUAUACGGUGUGACGCCUGCCCGGUGCCGGAAGGUUAAUUGAUGGGGUCAGCGCAAGCGAAGCUCCUGAUCGAAGCCCCGGUAAACGGCGGCCGUAACUAUAACGGUCCUAAGGUAGCGAAAUUCCUUGUCGGGUAAGUUCCGACCUGCACGAAUGGCGUAAUGAUGGCCAGGCUGUCUCCACCCGAGACUCAGUGAAAUUGAACUCGCUGUGAAGAUGCAGUGUACCCGCGGCAAGACGGAAAGACCCCGUGAACCUUUACUAUAGCUUGACACUGAACAUUGAGCCUUGAUGUGUAGGAUAGGUGGGAGGCUUUGAAGUGUGGACGCCAGUCUGCAUGGAGCCGACCUUGAAAUACCACCCUUUAAUGUUUGAUGUUCUAACGUGGACCCGUUACCCGGGUUGCGGACAGUGUCUGGUGGGUAGUUUGACUGGGGCGGUCUCCUCCUAAAGAGUAACGGAGGAGCACGAAGGUUGGCUAAUCCUGGUCGGACAUCAGGAGGUUAGUGCAAUGGCAUAAGCCAGCUUGACUGCGAGCGUGACGGCGCGAGCAGGUGCGAAAGCAGGUCAUAGUGAUCCGGUGGUUCUGAAUGGAAGGGCCAUCGCUCAACGGAUAAAAGGUACUCCGGGGAUAACAGGCUGAUACCGCCCAAGAGUUCAUAUCGACGGCGGUGUUUGGCACCUCGAUGUCGGCUCAUCACAUCCUGGGGCUGAAGUAGGUCCCAAGGGUAUGGCUGUUCGCCAUUUAAAGUGGUACGCGAGCUGGGUUUAGAACGUCGUGAGACAGUUCGGUCCCUAUCUGCCGUGGGCGCUGGAGAACUGAGGGGGGCUGCUCCUAGUACGAGAGGACCGGAGUGGACGCAUCACUGGUGUUCGGGUUGUCAUGCCAAUGGCACUGCCCGGUAGCUAAAUGCGGAAGAGAUAAGUGCUGAAAGCAUCUAAGCACGAAACUUGCCCCGAG
rnacentral:rRNA from 1 species